GAUGAACGCUGGCGGCGUGCCUAAUACAUGCAAGUCGAGCGAACGGACGAGAAGCUUGCUUCUCUGAUGUUAGUGGCGGACGGGUGAGUAACACGUGGAUAACCUACCUAUAAGACUGGGAUAACUUCGGGAAACCGGAUCUAAUACCGGAUAAUAUUUUGAACCGCAUGGUUCAAAAGUGAAAGACGGUCUUGCUGUCACUUAUAGAUGGAUCCGCGCUGCAUUAGCUAGUUGGUAAGGUAACGGCUUACCAAGGCAACGAUGCAUAGCCGACCUGAGAGGGUGAUCGGCCACACUGGAACUGAGACACGGUCCAGACUCCUACGGGAGGCAGCAGUAGGGAAUCUUCCGCAAUGGGCGAAAGCCUGACGGAGCAACGCCGCGUGAGUGAUGAAGGUCUUCGGAUCGUAAAACUCUGUUAUUAGGGAAGAACAUAUGUGUAAGUAACUGUGCACAUCUUGACGGUACCUAAUCAGAAAGCCACGGCUAACCACGUG
rnacentral:rRNA from 1 species